rnacentral:rRNA from 1 species
AGUGAACGCUGGCGGUAGGCCUAACGCAUGCAAGUCGAACGGCAGCACAGUAAGAGCUUGCUCUUACGGGUGGCGAGUGGCGGACGGGUGAGGAAUACAUCGGAAUCUACUUUUUCGUGGGGGAUAACGUAGGGAAACUUACGCUAAUACCGCAUACGACCUACGGGUGAAAGUAGGGGAUCUUCGGACCUUGCGCGAUUGAAUGAGCCGAUGUCGGAUUAGCUAGUUGGCGGGGUAAAGGCCCACCAAGGCGACGAUCCGUAGCUGGUCUGAGAGGAUGAUCAGCCACACUGGAACUGGGACACGGUCCAGACUCCUACGGGAGGCAGCAGUGGGGAAUAUUGGACAAUGGGCGCAAGCCUGAUCCAGCCAUACCGCGUGGGUGAAGAAGGCCUUCGGGUUGUAAAGCCCUUUUGUUGGGAAAGAAAAGCAGCAGGUUAAUACCCCGCUGUUCUGACGGUACCCAAAGAAUAAGCACCGGCUAACUUCGUG